AGGCCUGCUUUGAGGGGGGGGGAUUCCCCAUUCACAACUGCCUAAAGAAGAUAAGAACUUUACAAACGAAUGGGGGCCAUUCUGCUUCUGAGGUUCAUUCCACCUUCCCUCACCUUUGGACUGUAACAGCAGUGCAGAGAAUGCUGCAGUAAUGAGUAAAUAGUAUUGCAUGGGGGGGGGGUUGUACAGUAAACAAUGUAUCAUUAAUGUUCUGUGAAUAUACCCAAGCCAUUCUGGCUCAUUCAAACAGUCGCCCACCAACCCCAUAGAUGGAAGUGGUCUGGUGUGUGUAUGCAGUGUGCAUCCUAUCCGGUGAGAGGAUAUCAAUAUUGAAAAGGGAAUGGAGAACAACAGAGAUGGGUUUGUAAAGAGAACUGGGACACAAAGGGCUAUCCGGGUACUGGACGGGAACCUUUGGCUUCUGCUCAUCCGGAAUAGUUUUUUUUUUGAGCAGGACUGAAGACUAACAUUGAAUCCCAUGUUCAAGGCAAAGGCAGCUCUUCUUCUCCCUGAUGUUCCUCCUGACUUGCAGGCCCAACCCAAUCUUCGAUUGCAGUCUUAGCUGACCGGUGCUGUGCCUGAUUUGUCUCCAGCAGCGUCACUCACACACAGUGAUCAGGUCAGGCUACAAUACAGAGUUUCUAACUGGCCGGACUACUGACGCUCUGGCAACUAGCCAAUCGCUGCUCCUGCGUGUAAAUGCUGCGAUCUGCACGUCCAUCCAUCCCGCCAUCCACCCAUUUCCUGUACCUGUUUAUCCUGCGGGGGUACAUAGGCCUGUGGCGGGAUGGCGCCGCUUCCUUGGUUAUUCCUUGCCUUGUGGCUGGAGUUUCCCGGAUAGGCUCUGGAUCCACGCACCCCUACACGGGACAAGCCGUUACUGAAGACGGAUGGAUGGAUGCAUAGAAAAAUAACCAUCAUUCGACAACCAAUUAUUCUGUAACUAAAUUUAAACAUUCCCGAGAAAAACAAUCACGAUUUUACUGUCAAUGAAACCCAUAAACCCUUUUUAACGCCUCUUGUACAUAACCUAAAUAUUUGUGAUAAAUCUU